GCCGGAAUAGUCUAGUGGUUACGACGUGUGCCUUACACGCAGAAGGUCGCGAGUCCAAUCCUCGCUCCUGGUA